CUGUUGCCACAACCCCCACCAUGCAGUCUACCCUCAGUCUGCUUUUCAUCCUCGCCCUACUCCAAGGUGUCCAGGGUGAUGUCCAGCUGGUGGAGUCUGGGGGAGAUGUGAUACAGCCUGGGGGGUCACUGCGCCUCUCUUGUAAAGCCUCUGGAUUUACCUUCAGUAACUACUAUAUGAGCUGGAUCCGCCAAGCUCCAGGGAAGGGGCUGGAGUGGAUUGGUGUGAUACGUAAUGUAGCUAAUUCACAAACUACAGAGUACGCCGCAUCAGUGAAAGGCCGAUUCACCAUCUCCAGGGACAAUGCCAACAGCCAGCUGUAUCUGCAAAUGAACAGCCUGAAAACCGAGGACAUGGCCCUCUACUACUGUGCAAGAGACACAGUGAGAGAAACCACAUCCUGA